UACGGAGGGUGCGAGCGUUGUCCGGAAUCACUGGGCGUAAAGGGCGCGUAGGCGGCGCGAGUAGUCAACGGUGAAAGCCCGGGGCUCAACCCCGGGUCGGCCGUCGAUACUCUCGUGCUUGAGCACUGUAGAGGCAGGUGGAAUUCCGGGUGUAGCGGUGGAAUGCGUAGAGAUCCGGAAGAACACCGGUGGCGAAGGCGGCCUGCUGGGCGGUAGCUGACGCUGAGGCGCGACAGCGUGGGGAGCAAACAGG
rnacentral:rRNA from 1 species